UGGGUGCCUAGGCCAUGCCAGCCUGCAUUCAUCUGUACCAUGACCUGAAGAGGCAGAGGCCAUGAUCGCUGGUCCAGUCCUCACCUGGGGAAACUGAGGUUACACAGUUGAGUGGUGGAGUGGGGGCAGGGACUGGGCCUGACCCUAGAGAUGAGGUUUUGCGUUCAGGUGUCUCCGUGGUGAUGAGCAGGGCUUCAUUCAGUGCCCCUGUCCCCACCGAGGGGACUAUGGGAGCCAUGGAGGGUGUGUGAACAGGAGGUGAGACUGGAGCCAGCCGGAAGCUGGGAGACCCCACAGGCAUACACGGACCAGGUUGCAGUUCUGCAUUGGGCCACCAGGGGACGCCCCAGCCAACAAACAAUAUUGGUUUCUGUCCUGGCACCGGCAGGAAACGGGCUCCUACUUCCAGAAAAAGUGCUCCUGCAACUCCAGGAUGCCAGGCAUCUGGAUUAAGGUACAACACUUAACAACAGCCUUGGAUUUGGGAAAGGAAUGUCAGCGUUGUGCGGCUCAGUCUCCAGACCUAACUUUCCCUUUGGGACGAACUCAGUGGCUCAUGCCUGUAAUCCCAGCACUUCGGGAGGCUGAGGCAGGAGGAUCGCUUGAGCCCAAAAGUUCAAGACUAGCCUGAGCAACAAAGAAAACGCAAUAUACGGAAGGGGCUUAGCUUAGCGCUUCGUACAUGACAGCUCCCCGUCAGAGUUCGCUCUCGUCAUUUGAUUGGCCUUUGGAGAAGUCUUUGCAAGUUUUUUGCCUGUCUGACACCCAUGGCGACACCUGAACAGACAUCCCUGCUCCUGUGGCCCCACCAAAAAGCGAUUUAGCCUUCCGGAGGUCAGUUUCAACCCCCUACGAUUUCAUCUCUGCCCCAACCACUGAUCAAACAGCCAUCAUCUGUUAUCUGGCCUCCCCCACCCCGUUCCCCGAACUGCCCUUGAAAAACCCCUAUUAGCUUAGUGAGGUUUUUGGGGUUUUUUUUGAGACACCAUUUCACUCUGUCGCCCAGGCUCGAGUGCAGUGGUGCAAUCACAGCUCACUGCAACCUGCAAGUUGGCUCACUGCAUCCUUGGCGUUAUCAAUACUGCGCAAAGUCCUUUUCAGCAGACAGCAUAAACCCUAUCCUGUAAAAUCUCUAGCAAGCCUUUGUUUCUUUACAGCCAGUUUCUUUCUGCUGGCUGCCCACUGUCUUCCUAGCAAUGUAUUUUCCUACUUUCCCUUUUUUUUUGAGGACUCGUCUCGCUAUGCCACCCAGGCUGGAGUGCAGUGAUAUGAUCUCGGCUUACUGCAAUCUGCGCC